CGUCUAGGCGGAGCAGCAAGUCGGCUGUGAAAUCCCUCGGCUUACCCGAGGACGUGCAUCCGAUACUGCUGUUCUUGAGGACGAGAGGGGAGAGUGGAACUCCUGGUGGAGCGGUGAAAUGCGUAGAUAUCAGGAGGAACGCCGGUGGCGAAAGCGACUCUCUGGCUCGUUCCUGACGCUGAAGCGCGAAAGCUAGGGGAGCGAACG
rnacentral:rRNA from 1 species